AACAGGAUUAGAUACCCUGGUAGUCCACGCCCUAAACGAUGUCUACUAGUUGUCGGGUCUUAAUUGACUUGGUAACGCAGCUAACGCGUGAAGUAGACCGCCUGGGGAGUACGGUCGCAAGAUUAAAACUCAAAGGAAUUGACGGGGACCCGCACAAGCGGUGGAUGAUGUGGAUUAAUUCGAUGCAACGCGAAAAACCUUACCUACCCUUGACAUGGCUGGAAUCCUUGAGAGAUCAGGGAGUGCUCGAAAGAGAACCAGUACACAGGUGCUGCAUGGCUGUCGUCAACUCGUGUCGUGAGAUGUUGGGUUAAGUCCCGCAACGAGCGCAACCCUUGUCAUUAGUUGCUACGAAAGGGCACUCUAAUGAGACUGCCGGUGACAAACCGGAGGAAGGUGGGGAUGACGUCAAGUCCUCAUGGCCCUUAUGGGUAGGGCUCCACACGUCAUACAAUGGUACAUACAGAGCGCCGCCAACCCGCGAGGGGGAGCUAAUCGCAGAAAGUGUAUCGUAGUCCGGAUUGUAGUCUGCAACUCGACUGCAUGAAGUUGGAAUCGCUAGUAAUCGCGGAUCAGCAUGUCGCGGUGAAUACGUUCCCGGGUCUUGUACACACCGCCCGUCACACCAUGGGAGCGGGUUUUACCAGAAGUAGGUAGCUUAACCGUAAGGAGGGCGCUUACCACGGUAGGGUUCGUGACUGGGGUGAAGUCGUAACAAGGUAACC
rnacentral:rRNA from 1 species